rnacentral:rRNA from 1 species
AUGUACAAUCCUACAUCAUAGCAUUAAUGCACCAAAUCCCAUUAUAACUCCAUAGUUAAGCGUGCUCGGGCUAGAGUAGUAUUGGGAUGAGUGACCGCCUGGGAAGUCCUAGUGUUUUACAUG